UACGUAGAAGACUAGUGUUAUUCAUCUUUAAUAGGUUUAAAGGGUACCUAGACGGUAUAAUUAGUCUUAAACAGGAUACGAUUAUACUAGAGUUAUAUAUGAGGAGGUGAGUAUUUAUGCAGUAGAGUUGAAAUUCGUUUAUAGCAUAACGACUGGUAACGGCGAAAGCAACCUUUUAUCUAAUAACUGACGUGAGGGACGAAGGCUCGGGUAACGAACAGG
rnacentral:rRNA from 1 species